GACGAACGCUGGCGGCGUGCUUAACACAUGCAAGUCGAACGGUAAGGCCCUUCGGGGUACACGAGUGGCGAACGGGUGAGUAACACGUGGGUGAUCUGCCCUGCACUUCGGGAUAAGCCUGGGAAACUGGGUCUAAUACCGGGUAGGACCACUGCCUGCAUGGGUGGUGGUGGAAAGCUUUUGCGGUGUGGGAUGGGCCCGCGGCCUAUCAGCUUGUUGGUGGGGUGAUGGCCUACCAAGGCGACGACGGGUAGCCGGCCUGAGAGGGUGACCGGCCACACUGGGACUGAGAUACGGCCCAGACUCCUACGGGAGGCGGCAGUGGGGAAUAUUGCACAAUGGGCGCAAGCCUGAUGCAGCGACGCCGCGUGAGGGAUGACGGCCUUCGGGUUGUAAACCUCUUUCAGCACCGACGAAGCGCAAGUGACGGUAGGUGCAGAAGAAGGACCGGCCAACUACGUGCCAGCAGCCGCAGUAA
rnacentral:rRNA from 1 species